UACGUAGGGGGCUAGCGUUAUCCGGAUUUACUGGGCGUAAAGGGUGCGUAGGUGGUUUCUUAAGUCAGAGGUGAAAGGCUACGGCUCAACCGUAGUAAGCCUUUGAAACUGGGAAACUUGAGUGCAGGAGAGGAGAGUGGAAUUCCUAGUGUAGCGGUGAAAUGCGUAGAUAUUAGGAGGAACACCAGUUGCGAAGGCGGCUCUCUGGACUGUAACUGACACUGGAGGCCACGGAAAGCGAUGGGGAGCAAACAGG
rnacentral:rRNA from 1 species